UGGGAAGUGAGUGUACCCUCGAGACGAAUGAGUUUCCAAAUCAAAAUUCUGAUUAAGUUUUCUCGAGUUUGGUGCAGUAUUUACUUUCACGGAAUUUCAAUAGUUCUGCUGGGAAUUGAAUGUGUUGGAAAAGGCCCGAGUUUUUAUUUAAAUUAUUGGCAAGUGCACGAACCUAUCCAGCUUGUCCCCGUCUUGGUGUUGCUGUUUUGUUACAAGAUUUCACCACAUAAUAUGAAUAUAUUCCUAAUGUGUAA